UUACCGAGGUGCCGAAGGGAAACCGUGAAACGUGCCGCCUGGGAAGUACGGUCGCAAGGCUGAAACUUAAAGGAAUUGGCGGGGGAGCACCACAACAGGUGGAGCCUGCGGUUUAAUUGGACUCAACGCCGGGAAGCUCACCGGAUAAGACAGCAGAAUGAUUGCCGGGCUGAAGACUCUGCAUGACUAGCUGAGAGGAGGUGCAU
rnacentral:rRNA from 1 species